rnacentral:rRNA from 1 species
GAGUUUGAUCUUGGCUCAGAUUGAACGCUGGCGGCAUGCCUUACACAUGCAAGUCGAACGGCAGCACGGGAGCUUGCUCCUGGUGGGCGAGUGGCGAACGGGUGAGUAAUGCAUCGGAACGUAUCCUGGAGUGGGGGAUAACGUAGCGAAAGUUACGCUAAUACCGCAUAUUCUGUGAGCAGGAAAGCAGGGGACCUUCGGGCCUUGCGCUAUCAGAUGAGCCUAGGUCGGAUUAGCUAGUUGGUGGGGUAAUGGCUCACCAAGGCGACGAUCCGUAACUGGUCUGAGAGGAUGAUCAGUCACACUGGAACUGAGACACGGUCCAGACUCCU